UUGCGGUGGGAGAGGUCCGCUUCGGAGGCGUCGCGGCCGCCUUGGGUUUCGGAAUAGCCGGCGAAAUGUUUGGCGCAGGCCAGGAUUGCGUUC
rnacentral:tRNA from 1 species